GACGAACGCUGGCGGCGUGCUUAACACAUGCAAGUCGAACGGAAAGGCCCUGCUUUUGUGGGGUGCUCGAGUGGCGAACGGGUGAGUAACACGUGAGUAACCUGCCCUUGACUUUGGGAUAACUUCAGGAAACUGGGGCUAAUACCGGAUAGGAGCUCCUGCUGCAUGGUGGGGGUUGGAAAGUUUCGGCGGUUGGGGAUGGACUCGCGGCUCAUCAGCUUGUUGGUGGGGGAGUGGCUUACCAAGGCUUUGACGGGUAGCCGGCCUGAGAGGGUGACCGGCCACAUUGGGACUGAGAUACGGCCCAGACUCCUACGGGAGGCAGCAGUGGGGAAUAUUGCACAAUGGGCGGAAGCCUGAUGCAGCAACGCCGCGUGCGGGAUGACGGCCUUCGGGUUGUAAACCGCUUUCGCCUGUGACGAAGCGGGAGUGACGGUAAUGGGUAAAGAAGCACCGGCUAACUACGUG
rnacentral:rRNA from 1 species